rnacentral:rRNA from 1 species
GUGUCAGCCGCCGCGGUAAUACGUAGGUGGCAAGCGUUGUCCGGAUUUACUGGGUGUAAAGGGCGUGUAGGCGGGGAUGCAAGUCAGAUGUGAAAUUCCGGGGCUCAACCCCGGCGCUGCAUCUGAAACUGUAUCUCUUGAGUGCUGGAGAGGAAAGCGGAAUUCCUAGUGUAGCGGUGAAAUGCGUAGAUAUUAGGAGGAACACCAGUGGCGAAGGCGGCUUUCUGGACAGUAACUGACGCUGAGGCGCGAAAGCGUGGGGAGCAAACAGGAUUAGAUACCCUCGUAGUCC